rnacentral:rRNA from 1 species
UACGGAGGAGGCAAGCGUUAUCCGGAAUUAUUGGGCGUGAAGCGUCCGCAGGUGGCACUUCAAGUCUGUCGUCAAAGACUGGGGCUUAACCCUGGAAAGGCGGUGGAAACUGAAGCGCUAGAGUGCGGUAGGGGUAGAGGGAAUUCCCGGUGUAGCGGUGAAAUGCGUAGAGAUCGGGAAGAACAUCGGUGGCGAAAGCGCUCUACUGGACCGCAACUGACACUCAGGGACGAAAGCUAGGGGAGCGAAUGGG